rnacentral:lncRNA from 1 species
GGCGGUGAUUAAUUUUCUUUACCAUAACACAUGAUUAUAAUAGAAAAGACGUCAACACAUUUGGAAAAAUCCGAUGAGAAUUACAAAUAUAACAUUAAACAUUUAAACUGAAUACAUGAAUUUGGGAUAAAUAAGUACCGUAACACGUCUUAUGGUAAUGCGAAUUCACACUCAGCAAAACAGUCACAAUCGGGAAUAAGUCACGUUUGGUAAUUAAAAGAUUAGACGACGUAAUGACAAACCACAAUCUACCAUGUAGUAAAACUGUCCUUAGCUAGUUUGGUCAAAGACACAUCGUAUGGAUCCACCAAUUGGUGAUGAUGUCCAUAAAAUUUACGGAGUGUCAAUUUUAAUUUGUCCUCCUCAUAACUUUGUUGGACUCGUUUCUGCGUAAGGAGCUUUUUGACCUUCAAAACCUUUUUGAACACUAAUGAAGGUUAUCUAAAAUACACGUGCUUUGGGUUUAAAAUUCUGAAUCAUGUUUGAAAGUAUACUAUGCACUUCUUGAUAAAGGAAAUGUUUUAGGACAAUCAGUUACAAGAAAAUGUAGAAUAACAAAAAUACCGAACUGUGAAGAAAAUUCAAAAUGGAAACUCCCUAAUCAAAUGGAAUAAUCAAAAGCUCAAACACAUCAAACAAAUAGACAACAACUGUCAUAAUACUGACUUCUUACAGACAGUUCUUAUGUGUAGAAGAUGGUGGGUAAAACCUGUUUUUUUUAGCUAGCAUAACCUCUCACUUGUAUGAUAAUCGCACAAAAUUCCAUUAUUUUAACAACAAUGUUUGUAGAAAACACACCGACAUAAUAGGCGAAAAUAUAAAAAAUAGGGGCACAGCAGUUAACAUUGUGUCAUCAUCUUAAUCACUAUAAAAACAAACAUAAACAAUGGCAAAAUAACACAAUGACGGAAUGUUUAAGUACAUAUCCGCGUCAUAUGUAAGAGAAAAAAAAAACACAAAAAGGCAUAUAUAUACAAAGCAUAUUAGCAAAAAUGAAAGACCAAAUUACAGAAAGUAUCAUAGAACAAUAACACAAUGACGGGAUGCAUAAGUAUAGAGGCAG